rnacentral:lncRNA from 1 species
GAAAGGUAAGAGCAAAAAGACAAGGAAAUAUCAACUGUAGUUUUGGAAAGCCAGAAGCUGAGAAUAGGUGUAGCUUCAGCUCUGAGCAGCACAGGUUCCAGGGCUCCAUGGAGUACAAGGGAGCUGUAAGUAGGCUACAAGUCAUUUUCUCUGCUAAGUGAAAAGUUCAGAGGUAUUGCAGAAGCACUGCUCUGUUUAUAGUCACUGGUGCCUUUGUGUUUGUUUUGUGACUGGACAGGGAGGGGAGGUAGAACAAGAGAGCAGUGACAGCAGCUGACCCUGGGGAGAACAGUCUCCUUUCUACAGACCCUGGCCUUGCCUCAGGUAGCAGCAAUUGAGAGCAUCACUCUAAAAGGACUCCAGGCGAGACUGAAGUGAACUAUUCUGCUGUGGGUGAAAACAUCCUAGCAUGUGACAGAAGAAAAGAGCAUCAGGAGGAAAUCAGUUCAGGCCUUUCUGAUUAUUGGAGAAAAAUCAGGGAAGCGAUAUAUUGUGACCUCAGCUUGUGUGUGGAAAGGGAAGAUCCAGUAACAAGAAUAGAAAUAACAGGUAAAGUGGAUGACAGGCACAUGAAGGACAAGAAGAUGAUUGAGAACAGACAGCUGGAUUUAUCAAAGGCAAAUUGUGUCUGCCCAACUCAGUUGCCUUCCUGAUGAAACAAAUACCUUGGUGGACAAGGAGAGAGCAGAUGAUGUUUCUUGACUUUGGUAGGAUCUUUAGCAAGGCCUCUCACACUAUUCUUAUAGCCAAAUUGGAAAUACUGUGUAAGUGUACAGUAAGGUGGGUGAAAAGUGGCUGAACCAUCAGGAUGAAAGGUCCCACUGGCAGUUUGUGACAAGUGGUGUCUCUCAGAUAUUAACACUGGCAGUACUGUUCUAUGGCUUAUUUAAUGACCUGGAUGAUGGGAAAGAAUGCACCCUCAGCAAGUCUGUGGAUGAUGCCACACUGCGGGGAGGACUUCUGUUUGGAGGGAUUUUGAGAGGCGGGAGAAAUGGGUUGACAGGAGCAUCAUGAAGCUCAACAAAACAAAGGUGAAGUCCUGGGGUUGGGAUGGACUAAGUUCAUGCAACGGUGGUGCCAAUUGGGUAGAAAAAGAAUGAAGUGAGUGUUCACAGCUAAUUAACAUGAGUGUUAAUUAAGAUAAUCACUUACCUUGAUUAUGAAGUAGAUUAGACAGCAAAAAUCUUUAGUGCCAAACUUGUUGUCUAUGUUGAUCACCCUGCUGACCUCAAAAAGUCUUAGUACUUGAUAGAGAGUUAAGAAGGAUGAGUCAUUUUCUGUAUUGCAGGACUUGCCACAACACUCAAAAAUAAGACACUGGGCUUUAUUUCAGAAAUGCUAAAAUGUCAAUCAUUUUGUAAUAAUUUCUUAAGUUUGUUUCUCAAAAUCAUUCUCAAAAUGUUUGUAGAAGUCAUUCAAUUUUUUUAUUCAUACGUGCCUUGUUUUACAUGUAAUAGUCCUCAAAUCUUUAUUCUUUAAUCAUUUGCUGUAUCCAGUCAGGACUUUUCUUUGUCAUUGUUAAGAAUUUGGAGUUUACAUGAAUUAGAACUUAUCUGUUUACAAAAAGAGUUU